AUACUUACCUGUCAGGGGAGAUACCAUGAUCACGAAGUGGUUUUCCCAGGGUGAGGCUUAUCCGUUGCACUCUGGAUGUGUUGACCCCUGCAAUUUCCCCAAAUGUGGGAAACUCGACUGCAUAAUUUGUGGUAGUGGGGGACUGUGUUCGUGCUCUCCCCUG
rnacentral:snRNA from 1 species